GGACCCUUACUUCCAGGAAGACC
rnacentral:piRNA from 1 species